UGUCUGUUAACUACAACUUCUAUUUCCCUCACAAAACAGAUAUCUUAUAUAUACACUACCCUGUAUCCAUCCUCCCUCCUUCCCAUCUCCUUUCUUAUGGCAGAGAACCAUAUCUGCCAGUUCUAGGCUGCUACGGUGAUCCUGACACUUAUUUUCCAGAAGAUGGAAGAGGCAACAAAGGGUUCAACUAUUCUGGAUCUGAUCCUAACCAACAAAGUAUUUUCUGAAGAAGACAAAGGGAAGGAGAAGAAGAAGGGGAGGCCAAUGGAAUAAGCGAGUCUGAUCGGACUGACCUUGGAAUUGAUGUUAACUGGGAAGGAGGUGAUCGUGAAAUAUUUUUGGACUGUUGUGAGGCAAUGGAAAGGCAUUGCUGCUUAUUCUCCUCAAAGGAUACAUCCACACUGCAUUGUUGUAGCAGUCUGAUCCCACUUUAGCUAUUAUGGAGCCCUGGAAUUUUUAGUUUCUGUCUGCUGGAGGGUUCUCAUCAAUUCUUUUGAAUUAUGAUUCUAGAGUUUAUUUGUGUAGAAUCCCUAAAUUCCUCACUGCUAAUAUUUGGGUUCCAUAGGGUGGUCAUAAUCAGAGCUGGUCCAACAAUGAGGCAAAUUAAGCGGUCACUUCGGGUGCAAAACUUAUGGGGGUGCAGUCGAGACUGCUUUUUCUGUUGAUUUGUUGUAAAACAUGAUGUUUUGGUGCUUAAUUUGUAAAAUUUUAAUGUAAUUUGAUGUUUAAUAGGCUUUUUCUUAAUCCCUCCUUAUUAUCCAACAUUUUUGCUUAUCCAAUGCUUUUAUUUUUCAGUGAUUGGCUUUGGGGGGGGAGCAAAAUUCUGUUCGCCUACACUUGAAAAAUACCUAGGGCCGGCUCUGGUCAUGAUAACACUGGCCAACAUAUUUUGGUGCUUCAAAUGUUAGACCAGUUUCUGGGUAUAUCUGACCUGCUGAUUCCAAAAAUGGCACCAGUUUCCUGUCUUCUGCCAGUUGUCAUCCACUCAGCCAUAGAAAACUGUAAUAAGAAUGUCAAAGAAAAAAUACCGUAUAUACUCGAGUACAAGCCGACGCAACUAUAAGCUGAGGCACCUAAUUUUACCACAAAAAACCUGGGAAAACAUUGACUCCAGUAUAAGCCAAGAGCGGUAAAUUUCAGAAAUAAAAAUAGAUACCAAUAAAAUUACACUAAUUGAGGCAUCAGAAGGUGAAAUGUUUUUGAAUACAGUAGAGUCUCAUCCAAGCUAAACGGGCCGGCAGAAGCUUGGAUAAGCGAAUAACUUGGAUAAUAAGGAGGGAUUAAGGAAAAGCCUACUAAACAUUAAAUGAGGUUAUGAUUUUACAAAUUAAGCACCAACACAUCAUGUUAUACAACACAUUUGACAGAAAAAGUAGUUCAAUGCGCAGUAAUGCUAUAUAGUAAUUAUUGUAUUUACGAAUUUAGCACCAAAAUAUCAUGAUAUAUUGAAAACAUUGACUACAAAAUGGCUUGGAUAAUCCAGAAGCUUGGAUAAGGAGGCUUGGAUAAGUGAAACUCUACUGUAUUUACAUAAAACUGUAAUUUAAGAUAAAGCUUUCCAACUUUGAUUAAAUCACCAUUCUCAUCUUCUUCAGUGUAAAUGUGCUUAUGUAUCCUUUUAAUAAUAAUAGAGUAAAAUAAAAAAUGUAAUGAGACUAACAAAUACAGUCAAAUAAUAAAUGCAAUAAUAAAUAGAGUAAAAUAAUAAAUGCAAUAACAACGAUAAUAAUAUCAGAGUGAAAUAAUAAAUUUAUUAAUAGCAAUAAAAAUAGAGUAAAAUAAUAAAUGUAAUAAUACCAAUAAUAAUAAAUGUAUCAUAUAUACUCGAGUAUAAGCCAACACGAAUAUAAGCUAACCAGGACCCUCACCUGAGUAUAAGCCGCGGGGGGGGGCUUUUUCAGUCCUAAAACAGGGCUGAUAGCUAGGCUUAUACUUGAGUAUAUACAGUAACUGAUGUGGUCUAUCCAAUGCAAUAAAAUGAAUAACAAUGGAAGUUCAGCACAAUGUAAGAUGUGAUGCUGGUGAGGAGUAAUCCCUGUCCCUUUGCAGCAAAUAACUGAAUCCUGGCUGGGAGCUGGUUUUGCAAGGUAUGAUCUGAGAUGCUUCUAUGGCUCAUGAUGUCACAAACGUCCUUAGACCACUCUCCGCUUUCGCAGGAGACAUGAAGAAUGGCACCCUGUCAACCCAUCUCAUGCCGCUCUGAGCUCUCAUUGCGUUUCUCCACUGAUGCAUUUCCUUUGGUGAUGCUCCAUCCAUCAGACAAAAACAUUCAGAGACAAGGAGACAAAACCUGCAAAGCAAGACUUACAGGAGAAUAAUAGAACCAUAGAGUUGGAAGAGACCUCGUGGGCCAUCCAGUCCAACCCCCUGCCAAGAAGCAGGGAAAUCUGUGGGUUAAAUCCUUGUGCCAGCAGGACUGGUGACUUGAAAGUUGGUUUGCUGACCUGAAGGUUGCUGGUUUGAAUGAGUUCCCAUUAUCAGCACGGAUGAGCUCCCAUUAUCAGCUCCAGCUCCAUAUGGGGACAUGAGAGAAGCCUCCCACAAGGAUGGUAAAAAUAUCCGGGCAUCCCUUGGGCAAUGUCCUUGCAGGUGGUCAAUUCUCUCACACGAGAAAUGAUUGCAAUAAAUCACUGCUGACCGAGAGGUUAUGAGUUCGAAGCCAGCACAGGUUGGGUUAAGCCUCCGACCAUUAAUAGCCUAGCUUGCUGUUGACCUAAGCAGCCCGAAAGACAGUUGCAUCUGUCAAGUAAGAGAUUUAGGUACCACUUUAUGCAGGGAGGCUAAUUUAACUAAAUUACGACACUAUAAGAAUGAGGAAGUACUACCAUCAAGGGCUCGGUGUCACUAGUGGACGGUGAAGCGGCAGCUCCCCCUGUGGCCGGAAUCGAGCAUGCCCUCAUGAAGCUGGAAGCUCAAAAAUGUGAAAUUACCUCUGUGUCUGUCUAUAUGUUAGAUGUCUAAUGGCAUUGAAUGUUUUCCAUGUAUAUGUGUAUUGUGAUUUGCCCUGAGUCCCUUUUGGGGUGAGAAGGUGGAAUAUAAAUACUGUAAAUUAAAUAAAUAAAUAAAUAAAUUUAAAGUUCAGACCAAAACCUAUGGUGGAUUCCUAUCCCACUGUGAUGAAACCUACCUUCUGCCACUAACAUAAAAAUGCAUGACUGCAAAAUCCAGACCAAUUUCUAUUUUUAUUCCCAACUAGGAACUAUUAGUUAAAUCAACUGUCACUUAGGAAGUCGACACUUGUGCUUGGUUCCAUUGAUUCCAUAAAUCGAUUCUCGC